rnacentral:lncRNA from 1 species
CCGAAAGUUCUAGAAGCUUCGGAGAAUUGGGAGACGACCCCGGAGAAGGUCGUAGAGAGUGGAAGGAAGCUGCAGCAAGGGGAACGUACGAGAAUGGAAUCUGACGGAAGGCGCGAUAAAGUAAAGUACGGCCCGCUUUCUCCAGAAGCUUCUUAGAAGCGCUUUAGAUGUCUCGGCGACAACGGGCACGUGUCGGGCUGGGAUGAGACUACUGUUGACCGGAGAACCGGGUGGCACCGGGGGAACAAAUUUCGGCGGCACGAAUAUUGGCGGACACUUGUCGCGCGAUGAUUUUUUUUAUGCAUCCAGUCAAAGUCAAUAGCCCUCAUCCAGCAGGUUUCUCUAAGCUUUCUUUUUAGACUUUAGUUAUUUAUUCUCUCUAAAGUAAAUUUAGCAAAGUUAAUAAGUUAAUUAGAUUUUAAAUUUGAGAUUUUGAGUGUUAAUCAUUUAAGUUUUUAGUCAACUCUCUAAUUAAUUUUUUAUAUCAAUAAAAUUUAAGACUACUGCUUUUUUUUUUUUUUUUUUUUUCUCUAGAAGGUGGGGGUGCUGGAUCAGCUUCUCUUUGUUGCUUAAAAUAGCACAUAAUUUAUGAUAGGUAUUAUGCAUCCAGCUAUUAUUCCGGAACAUAGAUAUUUUGACAUGUGACGCUGGAAUACAUGGAGAACAGAAACGGGGGCACAGCGUUGUAUUGUGCAAAUAAUAUGUACCUUUCAUAUGCCUCUUUUGUCAUAACUGAGCUACUAGAUUAUCUUAUAAUAUAUGUAGAGUUGUCCUGAACACUACACCCGUUUGGUUCGGAAUUAAGGGAUGAAAUAACUUCUUAACCCUGAAGUUAUUUUCAAAUACUCAAUUUGAGGGGUGGGGUUAGCUAACCUCCCACCCCACUACUCCAACCAAAUAAAAUAUUAUUUUACCCACUAUCUUUCUUAUUUUACCUACUUCAACCAAACAUUAUUUUAUCUAUAUCUGGACAAAAUCCAAUUCUCAACCAAACACAAAAUUAUUCUAAUCCCACGUUAACCCCGAACUUAACCCUAUCCCUGAAAUAACAAGUUUUUACUUAAUCCGAACCAAACGGUUUUAU